rnacentral:lncRNA from 1 species
CGGAAAAAUGAUUGUUAUCCAGAGAAGGCUGGAAAGGUCAAGUAAGGCAUCACGGAGGAGGUAUGACUUGAGUAGGAUUUGGCUGGGGGAGAUGGAGGAAGAACUUUAAGCAGAACAGGCUAACGGCGGGAAGGGCAGGGCUCCAGGAGCCUCACAAGCACAGUAGCUCCGCAGGGGACGCAGGGGACGCAGGGGACGCAGGGGACGCAGGGGACGCAGGGGACGUGUGGGCCUGAGGCUGACCGGCUGCACCGCCACCUGCUGUGGAGCUGUCCUGCAGGCCAGGAAGAAAGUGCCCACGCUGCACAGAGUAGCAUGGGACAAAGGCUUGAGUGGGAAGUGGGUGGCGGGUGUCCUAUCACGGAGCCACCACCCCAAGAAGCAAUGGGCUGGGAGGGGAACUGCAAAUCACAGGAGGAAGCCAAAGAAGACCCUUCAACUAACUGAUCACACAAAGUUGUAUCAACUAGCCUUAAUGAGACGAGGUCUUUGUCACGUUUCCUUUGUGCCAACUCCCUUACCUCAGGACCAGCACCACCACCAUCAUCAACAUCAUCAUCAUCAUCAUCAAAAUUCAGAUUCUACUUGAAGGACAGAUACCUUCAAGGAAAAGAUAAAUGCUUUAACAGAGCAUUUUUUUUAACAUUAAACAAUUUCAAUCUUUAAAAACUAGUUGCGGCUAAAAAUAUUCUUGGGUUCAUUACCUAUAUUACUACUCUUCUAGUGUGCUGAACCAUUUGCCUUAGAGUCCCUUGAGAAACAUGCAUGGCUUUUCCAGCAAAGUUAAGUGACUUCUAUCCUCUUGGAGCCUCCUGCUACCCUCUUUCAGCCAUAUAAGCUGGAGUUUGACAAAAAACUACACAGAAAUUUUCACUUUGAAAUAAUAGACCUAGCCAAACAAAGUCAAUGCCCAUCAAAGCAAACAUACUGAACCAAGUCCAACUUACGUAUUAUAAGUUUUGAAAACUCUGGAAUGUGUCAGAGAAAAUAAAAUCACUCUGAGAAAUAUAGUACAGUAAAUAUUCUCAACUCUUUGUAGGUAGUUUAAUUAUAUUGGCUAUUGUUGCUGAGAAAUGUUUAGCAAUAUUGUGAUGUUUUAGAAUGAUAAGACUCUGUGGGGCCAAAUAAUGUUUAUUAAUAAAUUCAAUAAAUAUUUCCAGAAUAAAGUUGUUGAUGCCUUUAGCACAACCUCUCGUAGAUUAAAAAAAAUAUGAGGAUAUGAUAGUCCUUUUUCAUUUUUAUAAACCCCAUAUGGCUUAGCCUAGUGCCAU